GAGCGGGCAUCGCAAGAUGUCAGCGGCAGACGGGAGAGUAACACGUGGGAACGUGCCCUUCAGUUCGGAACAACCCAGGGAAACUUGGACUAAUACCGGAUACGUCCGAAAGGAGAAAGAUUUAUCGCCGAAGGAUCGGCCCGCGGCUGAUUAGCUAGUUGGUGAGGUAACGGCUCACCAAGGCGACGAUCGGUAGCUGGUCUGAGAGGAUGAUCAGCCUCACUGGGACUGAGACACGGCCCAGACUCCUACGGGAGGCAGCAGUGGGGAAUAUUGGACAAUGGGCGCAAGCCUGAUCCAGCCAUGCCGCGUGGGUGAUGAAGGCCCUAGGGUUGUAAAGCCCUUUCGGCGGGGAAGAUAAUGACGGUACCCGCAGAAGAAGCCCCGGCUAACUUCGUG
rnacentral:rRNA from 1 species